CAGGCCUCAGGAGUCACUUUCAGUUCCAGUCACUGUCUUGGGUUCAUAUCACUUCAUUACUGGAAAUCUCAAGCUGGACACUUCAUAGACAUCUCAAACUCCACAGUCCAAAACAGAACUAACUCAUUUCCCAAUUCAACCCAUAUUAAAGAGGAUUUUAGGUACCUAUUCUGUGAUCUAUAAAGUCUGUGAUUUGCAUGCUGUCUCCCCAUAAGAAUAGGGCACAGGUGGUGUUUUUGUAUCCCAGGGCUUAGCCCAUAGCCUGGCAUAUACUAACUGCUAAAUAAAUCCUUGUUGA